rnacentral:rRNA from 1 species
AUUGAACGCUGGCGGCAGGCCUAACACAUGCAAGUCGAACGAGUGGCGGACGGGCGAGCAAUGUCUGGGAAACUGCCUGACGGAGGGGGAUAACUACUGGAAACGGUAGCUAAUACCGCAUACCAUCGGAUGUGCCCAUAGGGGAUUAGCUAGUGGGUGGGGUAACGGCUCACCUAGGCGACGAUCCCUAGCUGGUCUGAGAGGAUGACCAGCCACACUGGGACUGAGACACGGUCCAGACUCCUACGGGAGGCAGCAGUAGGGAAUAUUGCGCAAUGGGCGCAAGCCUGAUGCAGCCAUGCCGCGUGUGUGAAGAAGGCCUUCGGGUUGUAAAGUACUUUCAGCAGGGAAGCGUUACCCACAGAGAAAGCACCGGCUAACUCCGUGCCAGCAGCCGCGGUAAUUC